GGAGUUAGCCGGUGCUUCUUCUGCGAGUAACGUCACAGAUGUAAGGUAUUAACUUACACCCUUUCCUCCUCGCUGAAAGUGCUUUACAACCCGAAGGCCUUCUUCACACACGCGGCAUGGCUGCAUCAGGGUUUCCCCCAUUGUGCAAUAUUCCCCACUGCUGCCUCCCGUAGGAGUCUGGGCCGUGUCUCAGUCCCAGUGUGGCUGAUCAUCCUCUCAGACCAGCUAGGGAUCGUCGCCUAGGUGAGCCUUUACCUCACCUACUAGCUAAUCCCACCUGGGCUUAUCCAUCAGCGCAAGGCCCGAAGGUCCCCUGCUUUCCCCCGUAGGGCGUAUGCGGUAUUAGCAGUCGUUUCCAACUGUUAUCCCCCANAAAUGGGCAAAUUCCCAGGCAUUACUCACCCGUCCGCCGCUCGUCAUCUUCAAAAGCAAGCUUUUGAAAUGUUACCGCUCGACUUGCAUGUGUUAGGCCUGCCGCCAGCGUUCAAUCUGAGCCAGGAUCAAACUCUGA
rnacentral:rRNA from 1 species